rnacentral:rRNA from 1 species
UACCCUGGUAGUCCACGCCGUAAACGAUGUCGACUUGGAGGUUGUGCCCUUGAGGCGUGGCUUCGGGAGCUAACGCGUUAAGUCGACCGCCUGGGGAGUACGGCCGCAAGGUUAAAACUCAAAUGAAUUGACGGGGGCCCGCACAAGCGGUGGAGCAUGUGGUUUAAUUCGAUGCAACGCGAAGAACCUUACCUGGUCUUGACAUCCACAGAACUUUCCAGAGAUGGAUUGGUGCCUUCAGGAACUGUGAGACAGGUGCUGCAUGGCUGUCGUCAGCUCGUGUUGUGAAAUACUGGGUUAAGUCCCGCAACGAGCGCAACCCUUAUCCUUUGUUGCCAGCGGUCCGGCCGGGAACUCAAAGGAGACUGCCAGUGAUAAACUGGAGGAAGGUGGGGAUGACGUCAAGUCAUCAUGGCCCUUACGACCAGGGCUACACACGUGCUACAAUGGCGCAUACAAAGAGAAGCGACCUCGCGAGAGCAAGCGGACCUCAUAAAGUGCGUCGUAGUCCGGAUUGGAGUCUGCAACUCGACUCCAUGAAGUCGGAAUCGCUAGUAAUCGUGGAUCAGAAUGCCACGGUGAAUACGUUCCCGGGCCUUGUACACACCGCCCGUCACACCAUGGGAGUGGGUUGCAAAAGAAGUAGGUAGCUUAACCUUCGGGAGGGCGCUUACCACUUUGUGAUUCAUGACUG